UUUUUUUUUUUUUUUAAUUUAUUUUUUAUUGGUGUUCAAUCCUCUUCCUCAAUUUCAACACCCAUUUCUCUCCAACGAAAGCCUCAUCCUUUCCCCCAAACACCCAGGCUCCGCUUAUAUCUGUAGAACCUCCCAGAUCCUGAUCUCAGACACGCAGUCGUGAUUAGGCCCAUUCAACCUUUUGUGCUCUCCAGAAGCGCUGCUGGUGAAGAACAUGGGAAAGACUCGCAGACCCUAAGAGUAGAUUCCAGGGGCUCUGGGAAGGGCAGGAAAGAGGGGCUGCCCGGAGAAGUGGGGACCAGUGUGCAUCAGCCCUUCCUCAGAAGCACAAGGCCCCAGCGCCUGGUGUAUCCAGACUUGUGCUGCACACAUGUGGCCCCUGAAAAAGGUGGCUAGUCUGAACUGAGAUAUGCUCUAGGUGUAAAACCUGAUUCCAAGACUUAGCAGGAAAAAAAGACUGUAAACUCAUUAAUAAUUUUUAAUGUUGAUGACAUGUUAAAAUGGUAAGAUUUUGGAUAAUUAGAUUUCAGUAUAUUACUGUUAGUCUCAUGGUUUCUUUCUAGUUUUUUUUUAACGUGACUAGAAAAUAUGAAAUUACACAUGUGACUCACAUUUCUGGUCAGAGCUCAUCCAGAUCCCAGACUCAGUUUCAGGGCCAUGCCUUACCCAACAGCUGGGGCUCUGGCUGCCUGGACUCAGCUUAACCCCAUUUGGACUUUCUGUACAGCCGCAGCUAUAGUGACCCAUUCUCUGGAGCUUAGAAAUGUCCUAGUCUCUGAAGCCAACUGCAGAGUUCGAGAAUUAGAAAUAGCUGGAUCUUUGUUCAUUCACUCCUCUUUCCCUCACCAGUCCAUCUCCCUGGCUUCUUUCUUUUAGGACACUGGUUCUCAAAAUGCAAUUCCUGGACCAGCAGCAUUGCAUCACCUGGGAACUUGAACUUGCUAGAAAUGCAAUUAUCGCACCAUCCAGACACUCUGAUUCAGGAACUGUGGGGAUGGGGCCCAGCAAUCUGAUUUUUAAUAAGUCCUCAAUGUUAUUCUGAUACACGCUAAUGUCUUCUUUUUUCCCCUUUUGUCAGGUUUUUAUUUAAAUUCCAGUUAAUUAACAUAGAGUGUAAUGUAAGUUUCAGGAAUAGAAUUUAGCAAUUCAUUGCUUACGUACAAUACCCAGUGCUCAUCCCAAAAAGUGCCCUCCUUAAUGUCCAUCACCCAUUCAUCCUAUCCCCCCACUCACCUCCCCUCCAGCAACCCUCAGCUUGUUCUCUAUAGUUAAGAAUCUGUUCUCUGGUUUGCCUCUCUUUUUUUCUCCCUCCAUGUCCCAUCUGUUUUGUUUCUUGAAUUCCACAGAUGAGUGAAAUCAUAUGGAAUUUGUCUUUCUCUGAUUUAUUUCUCUUAGCAUAAUACACUCUAGCUCCAUCCUUGUCAUUGCAAAUGGCAAGAUUUCAUUCUAUUUAAUGGCUGAGUAAUAUUCCAUUAUGUAUAGAUAUGCACACCACAUCUUCUUUAUUCAUUCAUCUGUUGAUGGACGUAUGGACAUUUGGGCUUUUUCCAUAAUUUGGCUAUUUAUGAUAAUGCCACUAUAAAUAUUGGGGUCCAUGUACCGCUUCGGAUCAGGAUUUUUGUAUCCUUCGGGUAAAUAUCUAGUAAUGCAAUUGCUGGGUUGUAGGGUUGUGCUAAUGCUAAUGUUUUCAAACCACUGUCUUAGCAUGCUAUUUCUCAAACUUUGCUCUAUAUUAAGAUCACCUGAUGAGCUUUUAAUCUGCACUUUCCCAAUGCCCAGCUCAUAACCCCUGGCAAGUUAAUCAGAAACUCUGGGGUGGAACCCAGGCAUUGAUUUUUUUAUAACUCCUCCCCUGGGACGCCUGGGUGGCUCAGGGGUUGGGCACCUGCCUUCAGCUCAAGGCAUGAUCCUGGGAAUCGGGAUCGAGUCCCACAUCGGGCUCCCUUCGAGGAGCCUGCUUCUCUGUGUCUCUCAUGAAUAAAUAAAUAAAUCUUCAAAAAGAAAAAAAAAACACCUCCUCCCUGAUUCCAGUGUGCAGCUAUGGUUGAGUACCAUCGUCUAAGGGUAAAGGACUCAAGAAUAUCAGCCAGAGCUGGGCAGGCUACAGUAUGUAAAUGACACAGCCUUACUGGGGGAAGGGGUAGGCCAGGGGAGACAGGGUGGUCAGCUUUACCUGGGGAUGGGGUAGAAGGGGAGACUGGGCAUUUUUUAAUGGCACGAGAAAGAGGCUGAACUGUGCAUGCCCAACCUAAAAGGCCCCUUUCAAUAGGUCAGCCACUGUAAUGAAACAGGGAUUAGUUCCUUAGAUUUUUUGAAGUUGAAAUGACAUGUGGAAAGGGAAUAGAUUGUCUCAUUGUCUACCAAGAGGUGAAGUCAAGAGAGGGCUGCCUGAGUCCAGGUAUAUUAAAACAAAGAGAUGUCUAAAUAGGGUUUCAAAAAUUAUGAUACAUUUUAGAAACUUACAUUUAUUAAAUUAAUGCUUGUAACACAUGUAAAUUUUAAAACAUAUUCGAGGCAAUAUAAUCAUCCUAUUCACAAUGUAAUAGGAGGAUUUAUUUUUAAAAUUCAUGGGCAUGGUACCAAAAUUUGGCAGAAAUUUAAAGCUGAUGAUAAUUUCCUUCUUCCAGUCCAAUUAGCAUAUCUUUAGAGAUAAAAUUUUGAAAAAUCCAAAUUUGAGGCCUGUGGUGACUCUGAGAUCCAUUGGUGAAAGUCCCUCCUUUGUCGUACCCCCAGAUGGGUUGGGGUACGCGGACAGGAAGGCGGAGCUCUGCAGGUGUGCAGGUGUGCACCAGCAGUGCAGUCUCUCUCCAUCCCACCUGCCCUCCACACGAUCUGUGUCGUAUCUGCUGCUCACCAUCCUCCUGGCCUCCGGUACCCCCCUGCCCAAGGCAUACUUGGCUGCUGGCAACAGGAAGUGGAGCAGGCACGGUCACAAGAACCCCUCCCUUUACCUUACGAAAGUAAUUCCUCUAGUUUGACACACAGCUGUCUGGGGGAAGGGAGGAAUUAGGAAAACCCUUCCUUGGGGCAGCAUCUGCAGUAUUUUGGGUUUAGAAAAGCACAUCUUCUGUUCCAGAGGCUAGACUGGGCUCAGGACUUGAUGUGACAUUAUGCUUUAGGAAGAGAAGGCAACCCCCGACUGAACAACAAUUAUUGCCUGAGUAGCAGGCACAUCGGUGUGUGGUAUCCACAUAGUGCAGGCAGCCUGGGCACCAUGGGAUGAGGAGUCAGGGGUGGCGGAGGGAUGGGGCAGUGAGGAAAUGGCAGCCCCGUUGUCACUGGCUCCAUCUGGAUCCACUGCUGCCACAAUCUUCCUGUUUCCUAGAGAUACAAGCCCAGGCCUCUUGCCAUCCCCUAUCCUGGAGACCAAAACUUCUAGGACAGAAGGUCCACACCCAGGAAGAGGAGGGUGAACACUAGGAUUCAAAGUCCAAGGCCAGUCCUUACAUUUCAGUCAGAGGGCUCAUCUACUGUAAACCCUUGGGAUCUUCAACCAGGGCAAAGUCUGAUUCCUUGGCCUCAUUUGCUUCAUUACCUUCCCUCUGGGUCCAUAGGUUCCUGAGUUUCUUUAGCCUAUGGAAAACAUGAGGAGGAAGGGGGAGAAAGGGAGAGGAAGGGGGGAGGGGGCAAAUAAGCACAUGUGCUGCCCACAGCCCCGUGGCACCAGGGGUGGUAAACACUUGGAGGGAGGCCAUCCGUCUGGCACCUCGAACCUUCCACAUCUCCCCGGCCAAGACUCAGACUUCUAUAUUUUGGGCUCUUUCAGCCUUAUUUCACGGAGGCUUUAACUUACCCAGACGUAGGUCUGUGUUAUUCUGUCCAAAACCUUCCUCAGGAAAUCUAGAUUGCAAUGCAAGAUGUACAUUCUCAGAAUCAGAUUUCUGAGGCCUAAAUGCAGGAUGGUGUGGACUUAGCAGUCUGGCUGCAUUCCUUUUCCAUCAGCCCAUCGGAUGAAUACACAAUAAGGUGCUCAUCGCCUCUGCAGGAUUCGGGAGACAGCAACAGCCCAGGUAAAUGGGAAGGACCCAGCCAGAGCCCAGCUAGUCUGGCUCCUCAGGGAGAACAAGGAGAACAUAGAGGGUCUGAGGUGAUUUGUGGAAUUAAUCCUGAGGUUGUCAUAUUGCUCCUCCGCUGGCUGUGCAGCUACCGGUUCUAAAAUCCUCCCCUCAAUUCUGUAGGAUGGAAUAGGGCUUUCGAAAGACAACUCGAGACAAAUCCCAGAGAGUCUUGCACCGAGUACCGCAAUGAUAAUGGUGGCCUUAGUAAUGGCGGUUAACACACACACACACACACCACUUCCUGUGUGCCAGGCACGAUUCCCACGCUCUGCAUGGAUUUACUAGGAAUAGGAUCUCUGGGCAAGGUAAGGAGCAGCCUCACCACCGUGGCCUCGGGCAGCUCCCUGGGGGACAGUCUCUUCCACUCUGCUAGUUCUCUGACACAGACCCAUCUUGACUCUUCAACUUUAACACGCUAGUUCAAGUUCACGAGCUGAGGGCCUGGGCCGACCCCUCAUCACGGGGGGAGGGGAGCAAGCCCCCAACAGCUGCGCCAAAUGAGCUAAAUGAGCUGCUGGCCUGUAGGAGAAGCACAGGGAGGAGUGAGUGUGAGCAUCUCCCCGAGGCAAACACUGUCUGCUCAUUGCUAUUGCUCCUCUAGGGAGCCGUGGGGGUGAGGGGGUUGUCUCAUUUUAUGAAAAUAUGAUAUAUAAAAAGCCUAAAUUAAACUGAUUCAGAAAAUUAUUAUUGUCUCUAUAAAACAACCUGCUCUGGAGUAGCUUUCUGUUAUUUCCCUAAGUAUAUUUAAAACAGGAUUUCAAAAUUAGAUUUACUGAGACCUCAUCAAGCACACAUGCUGCAUGGCGCACACCUGUAUAAGUGCUCCUAAACCACUAGUUUGCAAGAACUCUCUUUUCUAGGAUUGUGUCCCGUGUUGGGGAGGGGCGAGAAGAGAGCAAAAACAAUAGCACGCAGCCUCUGAGGUGAAUUGGCCCUGCAGGCGCACGAGGCACCUAGGCAUUUCGACAGCACCCUGUGGUCCUCACAACACACCUGUGGGGCGGGUCCCACCAUCUCCGGCUAUAGGUGAGGAAACUGAAGCUAGGGAGGUCAAAUGCCAUCCUCUUUAUCGCAUAGCCAUUAACAGUGGUAGAGUUUCACUGGAAGCCAGGCUUUCCUGACCCCAACAACCAGAACUACAGACAAGGUACAAAGCAAGACAAGGUUCAGCUAUUCUCCAAAGUUAGUCCCAUGGUGCCCUAAUUACAGAUGUGAUUGCAGAAUCGUGUCAUUUCCCUUCUUUUUGGUCUUGUCUUCUCCAUCCAGUCAGAAUGAGUUUUAGCUGUGUCCCAAGUGGAGCCUGCCUUCGACAGCAAAGAGCAACUCAGUCGCUGAGGGCAGCCCAGCUGCUAGGUCUGUGAGUAAAUGCCACUUCCAGAACCAUUCUUCAAAAACCACAGCUUGAUUAGAAGGACUCAAAUGCCUGCGCCUGUCCAAAAGGCCUAUCACGCAAAGCUGCCGGGUUGACCAAGCGGUGCCCUGGCUGUGGAGCCACACAGGUGCACCGAGUAUCAGAGGAGCAAACGGGAAGUUCUCAGGAAGCCCCCCAAGUUCAGAUGGGUUUAUCUCCAAGUGGAUUCAGCAUCCUGAUGAGCCAACACCAAUUGCAGGCCCGGCAUGUCUAACAAAUGCAGCAUUCAACCCCAAGAUGUUGAAAUUGUUACCUCAUGUUAAAAUGGACCUGAAGCUGCAAGCAAUUAGCACUGCAUCUGUGAGGCUAGGCAAAGGCAACCAAGAGAACAGGGGCUUAAAAGGACUAUUUUGGUCCAUAUGGAAAAUUGGUACAUGGUGUGCAUGGUAAAAUCCUUUCAGAUCUGUUUUUUAAGCCUUAAAUUUUAAAAUUCAGGUUUUAAAUGUUAUUCUGGGAAAAAGCAGCAUGAUUCCUUUAACAUCAGGAGAUCUGUAAGUAAACUAAAAAGCUGUUGGAGUCUUCAGUAAAAGAAUUAAUGUAAUAAAUGAACUCAGGCAUUGGUGCAAAUUAAUCAAACUGCAUAAAUUACAAACUUUAAUCAGUCACGGAAUUUCAAUACUCGAAGGGAUCUUGGAAAUCAUCUGUUCCAAGAUCAGGAAUUAGGGAAAAUAAAUGGUCAGGGAGAGAAAAACCUUCUGACUGGAGAAAUACACAAAGAAACAAAAUGCUAUCGGGAGGCAGCGUGCACGGGCUUGCACAGCCUGGGUUCAAAGCUCAGGCCUGUUUCUUGAUGGGAGUAUAAGCCUGGCUGAGAUGUUUGACCUUAGCAAGCAUUUGUGCCUCCGUAAAUUAGGUGCAACACAAGGUUACUCUGAGGCCUAAGGGAGACAAUCCACAGAAAAGGCGUAGUAUGGUGCCUGGGAUGCCAUAUGGUGCCAGGACAUCAGCCCUCUGUAAAUAUUAGCUCCAUAGAAAAGGGAAUUCCACAAACAGAAUCUAAGUGUGCCAAAUUAACACACUGUGUACCACUGGCCUUUCUCUUAUCUGUCUAUAAAAGAAAAAAACAAUAUGUGGUAGACCUAAGUACUCAAAUUUCUGGCUAUGAGAACAGGACAUGGUACCCAAGGUCUUGGAAUUAAAAAAAAAAAAAAAUCUUUGUAGGAUCAAUCCACAUCUCUGCUAAGAAAGAAGCCAGACCUGCCUGAUAAGCAAGACAAGAGGACCCACGGAGAGGGUGAUUCUUUUCUAAGGGUAAGUGAAAACUUCUUGCAAUGGCUGUUAAUGCAGAGCUGUCCCCCAAAAUUAUAGAACUCUGGGCCAGCUAUUUACUUGGCCAAAAGAGGUCACAAUGAGCCUCAAUGGUGUUCAGUUUUAGCCUGGAGAUGAACCAGCGUUGUAUUAACAGUGACUGGCUGAGAAAAGUUAAAGGUUAACCAGUAAGAUGUAACUCUGUAUUUGUA
rnacentral:lncRNA from 1 species